ACAGAAGCAGGGGGCAAUGGUAGCUCAGACGAUGACAGUGGCUCCGUGGUGUCCUUCUUCGACAAGAGCGGCGCCCAGAAAGUUCGCAGGAUCGCCCGCAGCGGAGCUCAGCAGUUCCUCGUCUUCGCGGAGGCUCCCGAGAUCGCGGACGAAGUGCCGGCCUCCAUGAAUAACUACACCGGAGGCAGCAACAGUCGUCUGGACGUACUGGACAACCUAUGAAAAGGCCAUUUCGCCAUGCUCAACCUCAGGUAGCACGCGGUUUCGCUGCAUCGCACUACGGGACAUCUUCGAUUAUGCUGCAUCGUCAUGCGACGGAGAA
rnacentral:lncRNA from 1 species